GAUGAAGAACGUAGCGAGAUGCGAUACGUAGUGUGAAUUGCAGAAUUCCGUGAACCAUCGAAUCUUUGAACGCAAAUUGCGCUCGAGGCCUCGGCCAAGAGCAUGUCUGCCUCAGCGUCGGCUACUACCCUCAACUAAGUUUCCUAUACACAUAGGGGAUGCCGGUUGGAUCUGGCCGUCCGGUUUGCCUUUUAGGUUGCCGGUCAGCUGAAAUACAUUCACGCUCUGGGGGCUGCUUUCCUUCCGAGGAGAGGCGAGUUCCGAUUUGGUAGGUGACCUUUGCCGGUUGCAUGCCUUCGUUGCCCGCUAAGCUUUCCAGUAUGCGUUGUGCAGGACGCCUUUUGGCUUUCGACCUGAGGUCAGGCAAGAACACCCGCUGAACUUAAGCAUAUCAAUAAGCGGAGGA
rnacentral:misc_RNA from 1 species